CCAGCCCGCUCAGAAACUCAAAGGAAUUGACGGGGGCCCGCACAAGCGGUGAGCAUGUGGUUUAAUUCGAUGAUACGCGAGGAACCUUACCUGGGCUCAAAUGUAUGUUGACGUAUUCUGAAAGGGAUACUUCUUCGGACAAUAUACAAGGUGCUGCAUGGUUGUCGUCAGCUCGUGCCGUGAGGUGUCGGGUUAAGUCCCAUAACGAGCGCAACCCCUAUCAUUAGUUGCCAUCAGGUCAAGCUGGGGACCCUAAUGAAACUGCCUACGCAAGUAGUGAGGAAGGUGGGGAUGACGUCAAAUCAGCACGGCCCUUACGUCCAGGGCUACACACGUGCUACAAUGGCCGGUACAAAGGGCAGCUACCUGGUGACAGGAUGCUAAUCUCAAAAGCCGGUCUCAGUUCGGAUCGGAGUCUGCAACCCGACUCCGUGAAGCUGGAAUCGCUAGUAAUCGCGCAUCAGCCAUGGCGCGGUGAAUACGUUCCCGGGCCUU
rnacentral:rRNA from 1 species